rnacentral:rRNA from 1 species
GAUGAACGCUGGCGGCGUGCCUAAUACAUGCAAGUCGAGCGAAUGGAUUAAGAGCUUGCUCUUAUGAAGUUAGCGGCGGACGGGUGAGUAACACGUGGGUAACCUGCCCAUAAGACUGGGAUAACUCCGGGAAACCGGGGCUAAUACCGGAUAACAUUUUGAACCGCAUGGUUCGAAAUUGAAAGGCGGCUUCGGCUGUCACUUAUGGCUGGACCCGCGUCGCAUUAGCUAGUUGGUGAGGUAACGGCUCACCAAGGCAACGAUGCGUAGCCGACCUGAGAGGGUGAUCGGGCACACUGGGACUGAGACACGGCCCAGACUCCUACGGGAGGCAGCAGUAGGGAAUCUUCCGCAAUGGACGAAAGUCUGACGGAGCAACGCCGCGUGAGUGAUGAAGGCUUUCGGGUCGUAAAACUCUGUUGUUAGGGAAGAACAAGUGCUAGUUGAAUAAGCUGACACCUUGACGGUACCUAACCAGAAAGCCACGGCUAACUACGUGCCAGCCGCCGCAGUAA